GAAAUUUAAUGCAAUAUCUUUCGUCUCUUUCUUGCCAAGGCGAAUGGCGGAUCGGUUCGCGCUCUGCGCAAGUGCAGGAAGAGCGACAAGGACAGCGAUAACGACACAGUUAUCAAAGCAACUCAAAUGUGCCAUGUGACAUGAAACAAAAAAAAAUGCCUCAUCAAAAAAUUUAUGGCUGAAGGUAACUUACAUCGGUGGCGUAAUGAAUCGCGCCGCCAUGUCUACCCGGCGCGGCUGUCUCGCUUGCACGCACACCCCGCGCUGUUGUCUCGCUCGCACGUCGGGACCGCGCGAGAAUUUGAAUUUGCCGGAUUUUCUUUACAAAAAUAACCUGGACCUUAGAAAUAUUGCAUGUUUUCGAUAUUUUUGAACACGACUCGAUCACCAAUUCCAUGACGUUAUUUAAUAACUAUAGAUUAGUUAGAGGAAGUGUUGUCGCCACAGUUACUAAUAAAAUUGUUUCCGAGACGUAGUCGGGCGACUUCUUGAUUAAGUUGUAGCCUAAUAUUACAAAAAUAGAACAACAAAUAAUUUUAAAUAUUUGACAGGACAAACAUGGGAAAAAACAAAAUACAAACGAAAAUAAUAUUCCGGGUUUCUGAUUUAAAAAAAUAAGUUAGAACAAGGGAAGAGGAAUAUACAAUUAACAAUAUUCAAGUACUGGUGAAUAAAACUACAACCCCUACAAAAGAAAAUGCUUUUAUUUUCAUAAACUAAUAUUCUCUUAAAUACUAGUAUAACAAUAACGCAUUAAAUUCAUUUGAAACAGUCCGCCGCCGGUGUGACCAGUAUAACGAAGGGAUUUUUACUCUUUAAAAUUAUAAAAUUUAAUAGGCAAAAUAUUGCCAUAUAUGUAUGUCAAGUGUUCAGUGGACAGAAAAGUGCUGAAAAGAUUUGUAAAAGGAUUUUAUGCACUAUUGUGAUGUCACAAUUUUUUAAGGAGUAUUUACACUUACAGUCCUUAAUCAUAAUAGUCACAAGUAAUAUAUUCCAUAAUUUAAAUUAGCAUUUGUUUUUUUAAUGUUAUUUUUAAUUUUAAUCGAUCAAAUUUGCUAAUACAGAAAUAAUAGAUUAAAUAAUCGAACCUGCCGCCAAUCCUGGACACGCCGGGCGCGGAACACAACAACACUUACAUCUGAACACAUAUGGAUACACGCUGCUGUAGUUACUACAUUCAUUUGUUGUUAAAUUACAAUAUGUUACUUUGUUAAAGUGAGAUAGCAUUCAUAUAAACAAUUAGAAAUAUAAACUCUAAUUUCUUACAAAACUUUAGUUCUAAAAUCCUUUUAUAAAAGAGGAUUGUCGAACGAAAGUAUAGAGCAUAAAA